UACAGAGACUGCAAGCGUUAUUCGGAUUCACUGGGCGUAAAGGGUGCGCAGGCGGCCAAGUGUGUGAGGCGUGGAAGCCCGGGGCUUAACCCCGGAAUUGCACCUCAAACUACAUGGCUAGAGCAUUGGAGAGGGUAGCAGAAUUCAUGGUGUAGCAGUGAAAUGCGUAGAUAUCAUGAGGAAUACCAGAGGCGAAGGCGGCUACCUGGACAAUUGCUGACGCUCAGGCACGAAAGCGUGGGGAGCAAAAGGG
rnacentral:rRNA from 1 species